UGCGGGUGAAAUGGCUUUCUAUAUAAUAUGAGAUGCUGAUUUGGAGUUCAUUACUUCAUUACCCAAAACCAAACUCAAACCUUUAAACAGAUCUUUUGCUCCUCCAUACGAUGGCUUUAGAAUCAUUUGCUUUCAAUGUUGCCCAGAAAGUCCUUGAAAAGCUAGCUUCCAAAGCCUACCAAGAAAUUUCAAUUGCAUGGGGUGUUCAAGGGGAACUGAAAAAGCUUGAGGAUGUCUUGAUGACUGUUAAAGCUGUGCUGUUGGAUGCCGAGGAGAAACAAGUGAGCAAUAAUGAUGUGCGAGUGUGGCUGAUUAAGCUUAAAGAUGUUCUUUAUGAUGCUGAAGAUGUACUCGAUGAAUUUGAAUGUGAGACUCAGAGAAAGCAAUUGCUUAAAUUAUAUGGAAGCACCACCAAAAAGGUGGGUCGCCUUUUUUCAUCCUCUAAUCCACUUGCUUUCUCUUUUAAAAUGGGUCAUAAAAUAAAACAAAUAAGAGAGCAAUUAGAUGAAAUUGCAUCUCAUAAGGCUAAGUUUCAUCUUAAUGAACGAGAUGAAGGUAGGCGUUCUAUGCCUAAGGAAAGAGCGAUGACCCACUCCUUUGUAAAUGUGUCUGAUAUUAUAGGAAGAGAUAAGGAUAAAGAAAAUAUCAUCAGACUUUUACAAAAGCCUAAUGAUGGUGGAAAAAUCGAUGUUAUUCCUAUUGUUGGAAUUGGUGGUUUGGGGAAGACUGCACUCUCUAAAUUAGUUUAUAAUGAUGAACGAGUACAAAAUCAUUUUCAACUUAAGAUGUGGGUAUGUGUAUCAGAAGAUUUUGACAUAAAAAAUUUGAUUGAGAAAAUUAUUAAAUGUGCCACCAGUGAUGGAGAGAACAGAAGCAAUUUGGAAGUGGAACAAUUGCAAAAAAUCUUGCGAGAAAAAAUUGGUGAUAAAAAAUACUUUCUCAUUUUAGAUGAUGUGUGGAAUGAAGAUUCUAUGAGGUGGGAUCCAUUACAAGAGCUUUUGUUUACAGGUGCUAAUGGAAGCAAAAUUUUAGUAACUACGCGUAGUAAGAAAGUAGCCUCCAUUAUGAGCACCAUUUCAGAACCAUAUGAGUUAUCAGGUCUUCCGCAUGAUAAGUGUGUGGCUUUGUUUACUAGAUGUGCAUUUAAAGAAGGUGAAGAGAAGCACUAUCCAAACUUGUUAAAAAUUGGGGAUGAAAUUGUGAAAAAAUGCAAAGGGGUUCCAUUAACAGUGAAGACAUUAGCAUCACUUCUUUUAACAAAUAAAGAGGAAAGUUAUUGGAAAUUUAUAAGAGAUAGUGAGUUGUGGAAAAUAGAGCAAAAGGAAAAUAACAAAAUUUUACCUGCUUUGAAAUUAAGUUAUGAACAAUUGCCUGCUUAUUUAAAAAAGUGCUUUGCUUAUUGUUCCUUUUAUCCAAAGGACUAUGAGUACCCAAGUUUUGUAUUAAUUCAAUUUUGGAUGGCACAUGGACUUCUUGAAUCAACAAAUGACAAUGAAGAUUUAGAAGAUAUUGGGUGGCGCUAUUUUCAGGAGUUGGGGUCUAGGUCUUUUUUUCAAGAUUUUGAGGACCGUGAUUGGUUUAUUGUGUGUAAAAUGCAUGAUCUAGUGCAUGAUCUUGCAUUAUCAUUGACACAAAAUGAAUUUUCAGCAAUAACCUCAACCACCACACACAUCUCAAAGAGUGUCCGCCAUCUGUUAUUUCCCGACUUCACUUCACUUCCCCAUGGUCUUUCCACUCUCUUACAAGAUUUAGAGCAUGUGCGAACUGCUCUAUUUAUGAGUGAGGAAAUCAGUCAAUCAGCCUUGGAUUUAUGUUUGUCAAGAUUAAAAUAUUUGCGGAUGUUGGACUUGUCAGAAUCCCAAUUAGAGGUACCGCUGGAAAGGAUUGGGUCUUUAAAGCAUUUGAGGCUUUUAUUUUUACCUGAAAUUAAAAAGGUCCCCAAUUCUAUUUGCAAGUUACAGAAUUUACAAUCUUUGUUACUUCAAACUGAGGAGUUGCCCAAUGAUAUAAGGUACUUGAUCAGCCUUAGAUUUCUAAGUUUUUCCACAAAGCAGAAGUGUUUGGCAAAGAAUGGACUAGGCUGCUUGACUUCUCUUAGGUUUUUGUGGAUUGUUGGCUGUGAAAAUUUAGAAUACUUGUGUGAAGAUAUGCAAGGCCUCAAACAUCUUCGAACACUGAUUAUUACCGGAUGUGAAAGCUUAAUCUCUUUGCCUCAAAGUAUGAAAUACCUCACUGCAUUGGAGACUCUUCGUAUCGAGUAUUGUGAAAACCUCAAUUUGACGAUGGAAGAAGGGAAAGCCGAUCAAGACUUGGCUCGAUUCAACCUUCAAAGGCUGAUACUCAAAAAGUUACCAAAAUUGGUAGAGUUUCCAGAAUGGCUUCUUCGAGGAUCCACCAACACUCUGCAACUCUUAAAACUAGAUUGGUGUAGAAACCUCAAAGAAUUGCCUGCGUGCCUCCAGAAUAUAGUAUCUCUUCAACAAAUUGUGAUUGAGGAUUGUGAUGAAUUGAGCGAAAGAUGUGAACGUGGAAAAGGUGAAGAUUGGUCCAAGAUUGCUCAUAUCCCUAAAAUUGUUCUUGACGGUUCUGAGAUCAAUUCAACAGAUGAUUCUCACAUCGAUUCAACAAGUGAAGAUUAGAUAUCAUGGCAACUCUGCUGAAAAUGCCAACUGCUGAAUGUGACAAUUUGUUUUCUCUGUUCACCAACCCAAUUUCGAUGUCUGUGAUCGGCCGCUGUUUACUCUGGAGAAGCAAAGAUGGCUACAAAGGGGCUUCCAGAAUCAUCAGAUUCUUGAGUCAACAUGACUACAUCAGAGAUCAAAUCAGUGCUUGUCGAGAAAUACCAGGCUUCUACAUUCAACAAAAACAAGGAAAAGAUUACAAGAAAUCACGUGCACUAUCUUGCAGGAAGAACAUAUCAAUGAAUCAAACACAAGUUAUCCCAGCUGGUGGAAGCAGUUAAGCACAUUGACUCAUUGUUCAUCCAUAAACAUGUCCAGAGACUUGGGUACUAUUGGAUGAGAAUGUUGUUCUGCAUUAUGGUAUGCAUAGGUGCUGGGCUCUCUUUGGGAGAGGAGAAUGUGCUGGGUUUCUAUAUGGCUUCAUCCCUUUAAGGCUUACCUUUUUCCAUGGAGGAAAAAAAAGAGUGGAAGACUUUAGUCUAUGGGUCUUUCAUAGACUCUCAGUUUGGACGUCCUCAUCCACUUUCCUUUUGGUCUGCUCCACCUGAUAGUGUGAAACUAAACAUCAAUGGCUCUUCGUGAGGGAAACCUGGUCCCUGUUCCAUUGGGGGUUUUCUCCGUGAUCACAGAGGUUUAUACAAUUGUCUCUUCCAAGUGAUGCAAAUUUGGCUGCAGAUUGUUUAGCUAAGCAGGGUCACCCUCGCAUGUCUUCAUAGCUUUCUUUUAGAAUAGUCUUUUCUGAUUUCCUAUGAUUUGAGUUUAGUUGAAUUGUACAUUUUCUUUUUGGGUUCUUAUUGGGGUGAGGCGUUUGCUGCUUUAGGUCCGGUCUUGUGGGGAAUGCCUGUUGGCAUGGGUUAGGUUGCAGCUCUCCUCAUCUUUUGUGUCUCUCUUUUUCUUUAAUGAAAUUUCUUGCUUAUCAAAAGAAAAGUCCAAUUCA